rnacentral:sRNA from 1 species
UGAACAUUUCUAGUCACACGGGAA